UUUUUCUUUUUUUUUUUUUUUUUUUUUUUUGGACUUUUCCUCUUUAUUUCUCAAUGACUUCCUCUUCCAGUAUUUUAUGAGUAUAAAAUUUCCAGUAACUUAAAAAAAAAUCCUUUUAUAUUUGUUUCAUUUUUAACUAAAAUUGUAUUUAAGUAUACCAUCAAGCCCCCCAUACUGACUUCAGCCACAAGGAGAGCAGACACCAGAAGUAAGAGAGGCUACAACUCUAUUAUCUGUAAAAAGGUCACCACACCAAAAACCUAUAAAAAUGAAAAGACAGAGAACUAUAACUCAGAUGAGGGAGAAAGGAAAAACCCCAGGAAAUAAGCUAAGCAAUGAGGAGAUUCUCAGCCUCCAGGAAAAAGACUUUAGACUGUUGAUGCUGAAGAUGAUGCAAGACAUUGGAAAUAAACUGGAGGCAAAGAUGGAUAACUUACAGGAAACACAGACCAAAGAGAUACAAGAUAUAAAACUUAAACAAGAAGAGAUGCAAAAUACAAUAACUGAAAUAAAAAACUCACUAGAAGCAGCUAACAGCAGAAUACAGGAGGCAGAAGAACGAAUAAGCGAGGUGGAGGAUAGAUUAGUGGAAAUUACGGAUGCACAUCAGAAAAGAGAAAAAAGAUUGAAAAAAAAUGAAGAGAGCCGCAGAGAUCUCUGGGACAACGGUAAAACCACCAACAUCCGUAUCAUAGGGGUGCCAGAAGGAGAAGAGAGAGAGAAGGGGACAGACAAAAUAUUCCAAGAAAUAAUAGCCAAAAACUUCCCUCACAUGGGAAAGGAACCACUCACUCAAAUUCAGGAAGCGCAAUGAGUACUAUAAAAUAAACCCAAGGAGGAAUACACUGAGACACAUAUUAAUCAAACUGACCAAAAUUAAAGACAAAGAGAAAAUCUUGAAAGCAGCUAGGGAAAAGAAACAAGUAACAUACAAGGGAACCCCAAAAAGGUUAUCAGCAGAUUUUUCAGCAGAAACUCUGCAGGCCAGAAGGGAGUGGCAUGAUAGACUUCAUGUGAUGAAAGGAAAACAACUCCAACCAAGAUUACUCUACCCAGCAAGGCUCUCUUUCAGAUUUGAAGGAGAAAUAAAAACCUUCUCAGAUAAGCAAAAGUUGAGAGAAUUCAGCAACACUAAACCAGCCUUACAACAAAUACUAAAGGAACUUCUCUAGUCAGGAAAGAAAAGAUCAGCAACAGGAAACAAAAAUACCACAAAUGACAAGGCUCACCAUUAAAGGUAUAGAUACAGUAAAUAUACGAAAUCAUCCAUGCACAAUUAUACCACCAAAAUCAGAAAUCAUGAGAAGAGGAGGGUACAAAUGCAGGACACUGGACAUGGACUUGCAAUGAAGAGAACAACAACUUAAAACAAUCUCAUAUACAUAUAGACUCUUACAUCAAAACUUCAGAAUAACUGCAAACCAAAAAUCUAUAACUGAUACACAAAUAAAGAAAAAUCAACUCAAAUACAACACUAAAGAUAGUCAUCAAACCACAAGGGGAGAGAAAAGCAAAGAAUAAAGAGCCACAAAAACAAAUCCAAAGCAAUUAAUAAAAUGGCAAUAAGAACAUACAUAUCAAUAAUUUCCUUAAAGGUUAAUGGACUAAAUGCCCCAACCAAAAGACAUAGACUGGCUGAAUGGAUACAAAAACAAGAUCCAUAUAUAUGCUGUCUUCAAGAGACCCACUUCACUUCUAGGGACACAUACAAAUUGAAAAUGAAAGGAUGGAAGAAAAUAUUUCAUGCAAACAGGGAUCAAAAGAAAUCUGGGGUAGCAAUCCUCAUAUCAGACAAAAUAGACUUUAAAAUGAAGAAUAUUUUAAGGGAAAAAGAAGGUCACUACAUAAUGAUCAAAGGAUCAAUCCAUGAAGAAGAUAUAACAAUUUUAAAUACCUAUGCACCCAACAUAGGUUCAUCACAAUAUAUAAGGCAACUGCUAACAACCUUAAAAGGACAAAUCAAUGAUAACACAAUCAUAGUGGGGGACUUUAACACCCCACUUACAGGAAUGGACGGAUCAUUCACAUGGAAAAUCAAUCAGGAAACACAGGCCCUGAAUGAAACAUAAAAUCAGAUGGAUUUAAUAGAUACGUAUAGGACAUUCCAUCCAAAAGCAACAGAACACACAUUCUUCUCAAGUGCACAUGGAACAUUCUCUAAGAUUUAUCCCAUCCUGGGCUACAAAUCCAACCUUGGUAACUUUAAGAAAAUUGAAAUCAUAUCAAGCAUCUUUUCUGACCACAACGCUAUACAACUGGAAAUCAACAACAAGAAAAAAUCUGCAGAAAACACAAACAAGUGGAGGCUCAACAACAUGCUACUAAACAACGAAUGGAUCACUGAAGAAAUCAAAGAGGAAAUUAAAAAAUACCUAGAAGCAAAUGACAACAACAAAAAAAACAACACUCCAAAACCUAUGGGAUGCAGCAAAAGCUGUUCUAAGAGGAAAGUUUAUAGCAAAACAAUCCCACAUUAGGAAACAAAAAGCUCAAAUAAACAAGCUAACUUUACAUCUAAAGCAGCUCUAGAGAGAACAACAGACAAGACCUAAAGUUAGUAGAUGGAAAGAAAGCAUAAAGAUCAGAGCAGAAAUCAAUGAAAUAGAAAUGAAGAAAACCAUAGAAAAGAUCAAUUAAACGAAAAGCUGGUUCUUUGAAAAGAUCAACAAAAUUGAUAAACCCUUAGCCAGACUUAUCAAGAAAAAAAGAGAGGACUCAAAUCAAUAAAAUUAGAAAUGAAAAAGGAGACGUAAUAAUGAACAUCACAGAAAAACAACGGAUAAGAGACUACUAUAUGCAACUACACGCCAAUAAAAUGGAAAACCUAGAAGAAAUGGACAAAUUCUUAGAAAAGUACAAUUUUUCCAAGACUAAACCAAGAUGAAAUAGAAAAGAUGAACAGACUAAUCACAAGAACUGAAAUUGAAACUGUGAUUAAAAAACUUCCAACAAAAAAAUAUCCAGGACCAGAUGGCUUCACAGGUGAAUUCUAUCAAACAUUUAGUGAAGAGUGAACACCUAUCCUUCUGAAACUAUUUCAAAAAAUUGCAGAGGAAGGGAUUCUCCCAAACUCACUCUAUGAGGCCACCAUCACCCUGAUACCAAAACCAGACAAAGAUAC
rnacentral:lncRNA from 1 species